AAUCUGCAUCUCACAAGACAACAUUGUUGGACAGUGACAAGAUAGAGAAUGCAGCAGAGUGACCCUCAUGGUAGAAUACUUCAUUCUGAUGGAAAUGCGGCUAGAACGAAAUACUGGGAUUACAAUGAGACAUCUCAAGCCAAAAGAGUUGCAUUUAGAUAGCAGUAUCAUGGAUGAUUAUGGCAGAACUUACAGAGCUCAGUACAAUCACAGGCUGCAGCACUGACAGAAUUAAGGACAAGAAGUGAAGAAGAGAAUGUCCUGUGAGAGAGCAAAGGAAAUGUUUGAGUAAAACAACUUUCAGAUGGCCA